AUGUGUAAUAGGGAAGGAUUCAAGUCAAAAGAUACUAAGGAGACUGGUGACCCCUUGAGAAAAAGGUGUAAGCAGACAAACACACGAUGCGGUUGUGAUGCCCAUACCUUUGUUAGACUUUGUGGGAAUAACACCUACAAGAUAGACUCAUGGGUCGAGCACCAUGUCCAUGGUCUUGUAUUGCCUAAUAAGUGUCAUUUGAUCAGAUCGAAUCGCAGGGUUAGUGAGAGGGCAAAGAAUACCCUAUAUACAUGUCAUAAGGCAAGCAUUGGAACCUCCCAGACAUACAGUCUACUACAAGUUAGUGAGGGCGGGAUUCCGAAUGUUGGGUGCACGAAGAGGGGCUUGCAGAAUUACUACCGCGGACUCGGGUAUAAAAUCAGAGAUGCGGAUGCUCAAAUGCUACUAGCUAGAAAGCAGAAAGUGAAUUCAGCACUUUUCUAUGAUUUUUGA
rnacentral:rRNA from 1 species